UAUGGGANCCUANCGGGGCGAGGCUUUNCCCAUUGCUUAGUCAGAGCAGGAGCUAGGCCCGCUUGCACCUUNAGCUUNAGCGGCGGACGGGUGAGUNAUGCUUAGGAUCUNGCCUNUUAGUGGGGGACAACAUUCCGAAAGGGAUGCUAAUACCGCAUAACGCCCUACGGGGGAAAGCAGGGGAUCUUCGGACCUUGCGCUAAUAGAUGAGCCUAAGUCGGAUUAGCUAGUUGGUGGGGUAAAGGCCUACCAAGGCGACGAUCUGUAGCGGGUCUGAGAGGAUGAUCCGCCACACUGGGACUGAGACACGGCCCAGACUCCUACGGGAGGCAGCAGUGGGGAAUAUUNGGACAAUGGGGGGAACCCUGAUCCAGCCAUGCCGCGUGUGUGAAGAAGGCCUUUUGGUUGUAAAGCACUUUAAGCGAGGAGGAGGCGCUCUAGGAUAAUACCCUAGAUGCGUGGACGUUACUCGCANAAUAAGCACCGGCUAACUCUGUGCCAGCAGCCGCGGUANUACAGAGGGUGCGAGCGUUAAUCGGAUUUACUGGGCGUAAAGCGCGCGUAGGUGGCUAAUUUAAGUCAAAUGUGAAAUCCCCGAGCUUAACUUGGGGANUUGCAUUCGAUACUGGUUAGCUAGAGUAUGGGGAGAGGAUGGUAGAAUUCCAGGUGUAGCGGUGAAAUGCGUAAAAGNCUGGGAGGAAUANCCGAUGGCCNAAGGCAGCCAUCUGGNCUAAUACUGACNCUGAGGUGCGAAAGCUUGGGGGACCAAACAGGAUUAANAUACCCNGGGUAAGNCCAUGCCCGUAAANCAAUGUCUANUANCCGUUUGGGGGCNUUUGGNGNNUUUANUGGCCCCACCUANCCCGAUAAUUAAACCCNCCUGGGGAAUAACCGGUCCCAAAAUUAAAA
rnacentral:rRNA from 1 species